rnacentral:lncRNA from 1 species
CCGCGGUGCCCGCGCGUGUGUGGCGGGGCAGCGGCUGUUCCGCGCCCUGCCCGGGCAUGGCUCAGCCCUCGGGAUCCCGGCGGAGCCGGCGGACAGGAAGCUUUAAAUUAUUGGAUGUGGGAGUAUCGGCACCUCCUACGUAACGCUCAUCAGCGUGCAGAAGUAAACUAGUCUGGUCACUUAUGGAGGCCCAUUUAAAACCAAGAGGAUUACUCAGAAUGAAAAGAAAGCUUUCAGGAAUCUUCACUUUAAAAAAACCCCAAAAGGUCAUCCUCCCAGAAGUCAAAUCUAACCUUGAGAGAAAGACGCCACUUUGGAGCAGUUCAUAG